UCCUCUCCCACUGAGGACCUGACCAAACUGGCUAGCACUGGCUAGAUCGUUGGCUGACUGGUCCCUAAAGAAAAUCUAACUGACUCAAAAGCAGGGACACAGUGUCUUCGGCAUCUUGGUGCCCUUGAUGAGGGCGCGGCGGCACCUGGCAAUCAGCUCCAGCCGAUGGAGACAUCACUUCCUCUGAGCAGAAGUGGGUCUAGCAUUUUCCGAAGCACCCUUUCCUAUCGAUCCUUCUCAUCUGAGGAGAGCAUUCACAUCUGAGUCGACGCCUUCAGCAGUGUGGUCCCUCGAGGCUCAAGUUGCAGAGAGUUCUUAUACCCUUGCUUCUGUUCAGAGUUCCUGGGAACACACUUCAAGGAACACCAGUUAAGAACACAGCCCUGUGCACACACGGGAUCUACUGUCAUCUUAGAAUGCAAAGCCGGG